rnacentral:rRNA from 1 species
UACGGAGGAUCCAAGCGUUAUCCGGAAUUACUGGGCGUAAAGAGUUGCGUAGGCGGCAUUGUAAGUAGGUAGUGAAAGCCUGGGGCUCAACCCUUUAAACAUUAUCUAAACUGCAAAGCUAGAAUAUAGAAGAGGUAGCUGGAAUUCCUUGUGUAGGAGUGAAAUCCGUAGAUAUAAGGAGGAACACCGAUGGCGUAGGCAGGCUACUGGUCUAUUAUUGACGCUAAGGCACGAAAGCGUGGGGAGCAAACGGG